rnacentral:rRNA from 1 species
UACGGGGGGGGGCGAGCGUUGUUCGGAAUUACUGGGCGUAAAGGGUUUGUAGGUGGCCUGCUAAGUCAGACGUGAAAUCCCUCAGCUUAACUGGGGAACUGCGUCUGAUACUGGCGGGCUUGAGGACAGGAGAGGAACGCGGAAUUCCAGGUGUAGCGGUGAAAUGCGUAGAUAUCUGGAGGAACACCGGUGGCGAAGGCGGCGUUCUGGACUGUUUCUGACACUGAAAAACGAAAGCCAGGGGAGCAAACGGG